rnacentral:rRNA from 1 species
GGCGGAAAACAUGGGUUCCCUANNCANCAAUGUGAUNCUNAUCUCCAAAAGUGCGUCUCAGUUCGGAUAGGANUCUGCAACUCGACUCCUUGAAGCUGGAAUCGCUAGUAAUCGCGCAUCACCAAUGGCGCGGUGAAUACGUUCCCGGNCCUUGUACACACCGCCCGUCAAGCCAUGGGAGCCGGGUGUACCUAAAGACGAUAACCGUAAGGAGUCGUCCAAGGUAAAACCGGUGACUGGGGCUAAGUCGUAACAAGGUUACC